rnacentral:misc_RNA from 1 species
GUAAAUCUGAGCAUGGAUUACUGCGCCAAACAGCUGAACGCUUUCGCUGCUUGCGAGGAGAUGAGAGGGGCUUACACCGCUGCCGAGCGUAGGAGCCCGGUGUUCUGCCCCAAGCCCCGCCGGCUCACCCAGCUUACGGCCGCUGCGGACGCCGAGAGGCCCAGCCGAUGGCAGCCGAGUUAUCAUGCUGAUAUGUCCGAUUCCAAAGCCGGCUCGGAACUGUUGGAUAUCUUUGUCACAAAGGGAGGGGAGGUGGCGUCGUCGCCCCCGUUCUUUUGUGGAUCUCCGCCGAGCCGGGCGGCGAAUCCGGUGGUGCACGACGCCCGGUUCGGCGAGGCGGGAUUCCCGUUGAGCUCGUCUCCGAUGUCACCGCGCAAGGCCUGCGCCCGUGUGCAGUUUGGGCUGAAGCCGGCGGCGGUGAGAAUUGAGGGCUUUGAGUGCCGCGACCGCCG